UACGUAGGGAGCAAGCGUUGUCCGGAAUCAUUGGGCGUAAAGCGCACGUAGGCGGCCUGUUAAGUCGGGUGUGAAAGCCCUGGGCUCAACCCAGGAAGUGCACUCGAAACUGGCGGGCUUGAAUAUGGAAGAGGGUCGCGGAAUUCCCGGUGUAGAGGUGAAAUUCGUAGAUAUCGGGAGGAACACCAGUGGCGAAGGCGGCGACCUGGGCCAAUAUUGACGCUGAGGUGCGAAAGCGUGGGGAGCAAACAGG
rnacentral:rRNA from 1 species